rnacentral:sRNA from 2 species
ACUCAACAGAUAAUUCUUUAAAGAGGGUGAGUCUAAGUUGUAAAAGCGCGCCGUUCCCUUUUGGGAUUACGGAUUCUUGAUCAGCUUGUUAGCCCUAAACCUGAUUUUAAGGAGUUU